GGAACAUGUCCCAGAGUCACAUGGGAAGUUCUGACCCCAGCAGACAACAGAACACAGUGGAGUUCCUCAGGCACAGGUUCACCGACUGGGGCCCACACAUUCAAGUAUAUGAGCCUUUGAAGCCGUUCUUAUUCCAACCACCACACCCAGGACUCAAAGUCCCAGGCAGGAAUUGCAGUAAGACUUCAUAGACCAGCGCUUCUCUCAGCCCUCAUCAGAGAACACUUCCUGCAAUAGAGAGAACAAGAAAGAGAAGACAUGAAGCUGUGUGGACAGG
rnacentral:sRNA from 1 species